rnacentral:lncRNA from 1 species
UUGAAUAUUGGGGAUUUGACUAUUUUCAUACUUGUUUUCCAGGUCAACCAGAUUUUGGGGCAGCUUGACCCUCCCGGCAGAAUUCUUUUGAAAGCCAUUGAAAUCAACAGAAGCGGGCCGGUCGACUAUGUGGCCGUCAUGGAAAACAAUAUUGUCGACGCUCCAGGCACACUUGGGAAUUUGGAAAAAUAUUCCAAGACGAAGAAAGAAAUGCAGUCUGCCGAUGCGGUCAUCAUUUUAGUAGGGUCUUGCGUAUACAAGAGGAGCUUGCAAUAGACAUGGUGCCAUCGUUGCCGCAGACCUUGGGACGAAAUACACGGGGGCCUUGAGCGUUGCGCAUGAAGUAGGGCAUUUCUUAGGUUCUCCUCAUGACGGUGCAGAAACGACAAAGGAGUGCCCAGCUGAUGGCGGUACCAUAAUGAGCAAACAAGCCGCUGGCGUAAUCCGACCACGGUAUUCAGAAUGUAGCAAACAAGCCAUCAAAGCCUAC